UCUACUUAUUAUCUGAAGAUUUUAUUUGCUUUCUCAGUGAGAAAAUUGUUGCAUGGAGGAUUAUAGUUACUUCAAAGGAGUAUGAAAUUUGGUAAUACUUCAGGAAUUUAAGCAGCAAAAGCCGGAACAAGACAGGCUUACAUAGUAAAAUGCCAUCCUUUUACCUUGGGGUGUUUGCAGAAACCUCCUUAGCACAAACUCAUUACAGAUUUGAAAGACUGUGAGAGGCUGUUUCAUGCAGAGAGACCGCAGACACUCUAUCCUGUCCCCCAGGCAGCAAGAAGCUGAAAGGAGCAAAUCUGCAGUGCUACAACAAUGUGUGUUUCAGUUUCACAGGCUGCUUCUGUGAGCACAGAUCUGACACCACAGACCAGUUUGGCAGUGGUUCUUUUUUUUUGGCUUCACGUCCUGACUGACCCACUUGACACAUUUUUAGUAACAGGGUUUGGAGUUCAGCUGGCAUCCUGGUUCUCUACUACAUAAAGCGAGAACAGCCUAAUAGAAGGCCAAGUCAUAUGCUGUAAUAGAGUACUAUGUAGAACUGUACCUAAACUACAGCUACCUAAAUUAGCUUUUGAAUACAUGAGUGCAGCUAUGAUAUGUGAUUGUUUGUGAAGCAAAUAGUCUUAUAAUUAUGUGAUAAAUACCAAGUAUAAUAUGAUGCACCAGGAAACUGAAGCACAGUGAAAUUACAAAACCAGGUUAGUCUGUGCUUUUGAGCUGAAUUUCCUGUUUCACUACCGAAAAUUCACCAGACAAGAAGGCAGAUAGAACUUGUAGAACCAGUGGAAAAUAAUGGGAUGAUGAAUUGAGAUCACUAUUUCAAAUUCAACCUCUCCUACCUUAAAAUUAGGUGUGCAAAGUUUAAUACUAUGCAGUUUACAGUUUUUGAUGUUUUAGCAUAACAAUGUAUGAAAAAAAUCAUAGCAGAACUUAAUUGAGGUCCUGAAAAACCUCCUGGUUUGUGCUUAUCAGAUCCAACUGGGAAAACAUCUUAUAUAGAGCUGGAGAGGUUUCCUUUUAACUGCAGCUUUCAUUUGAGAAAAGGUAAUGGGUAAUGAAUACAGGAAUAUUACCAAUAGAAUGAAUAAUUUAGGCCAUUCAGCACAAGAAGAGAACGGUUGCUGAAAUGUGGUUUGUUAAGAUUUUUCACAACAGCCCAACUGCUAAUAGGUAUUCAGUUCCGAGGUUAAGUUUUUAAAAAUGUCCUAUUGUUUACUGUAUGUCUUUUUUAGAUAUUAAAAUGAUAGCUAAGUUGAGGUUAUGGCUAAUGAACUUGCAGUGAAAAAAACCUCACUUCUUCUUUCACUUAAUAGCACAAAUUUAGAUUAUCCCAGAAACAUGAUUAAAGAGGGAUUACGUUAGAGAAACCAUUUGAACCACUUUAUUUGGGACACUAAAAAUCACCCAGAAGUUUUGGUUAUUAAUUCUAAUACACAGCCUCCAAACAUGUGACUGAAAUGGACAUUGUUCUCUUUGCUGUCAGGAGGCAUGAAAUUCAAGGAGCUGGUUCUAUUUUGCAAGCAGACUUUACUUUUUUGCAAUGUACCUUUGCAAUGGACUUUAAAUGGUCCCAUGUGUCACAUAUUUAAAUUUAUCUGUCUCUUCCAUACAACUUUUUGAUUUGCACUAAUCUGAAAUUUUCAGAUGCGUUUCUUGGAGGAUGAAGCUCAUUGGUUCUCUUCCAGGACUGCCUUUCUGCAAUGCACUACUUCUAGAUUAUUUUUUAGCAUGACCUUGAUCUACUUACAAAAAGAUAGAAUUUCAAUCUUAUUGUUCCAAGCUGUUAUAAUUAACUAUGCACAAUUCAAUAAGUGGCAGGAUCCCAUUUAGGCUGUUGCCUAAAAGAAGAAAUGGAAGAUAUUUUUCUCUAUUUACUUAAUUGUUAAUUUUUUUAUUGCAAGUAAAUUGUUUCAUUUCUUGUUUUUGUUUAUUUUAAAAUUACCAGAGAUACUGUAGUAAUUUGUUUCAUAUAAAUGCAUAUAGCUAAUCUCCUUAUGAACAAAAGCUAGCUUUGGGAAAAUAUAUCUCCAAUGAGGACAAUAUCACUACUUCUACCAACUUAGCUUAGUAUCUCCCUAUUGCAGAUCUUGAAAAAGUGUAGCCGCUAUAUGUUUCAGAAAAAAAAAAUUAAAAAUUAUUUAUUAGACAAUAUGAAUGUAUUUUCAUACUUGUAUUUGAAUCGCAAGGAACUAACAAGCAUAUAUUCUUUGCUCAGCCUGGCUAAACUUUUAGAAAUGUACUACCUAAUUUGAAAUCCAGAAAUUGCUCAGUGUACACAGAAGUGUAUGUCAAAUGAUGAUGCUUUUGGAAACAAUUUUGGAGCAAAACAGCUAUAAAAAAGCCAGAACAUUAAAAAGAAAAAAGAAUUAAUAAUAAGGCUGUUCCUGAGAGAACUGUAAUUUUGGUUUCAUUGAUUACGGAACAGACUUUGGCACUAGCAAAAGGACAUGAAAACUGAAGAGAGAUACUAUUUUUAAAAUUAAGGCAUAUUUGCAGAUUCCCUUUGCUGUAACUGACCAUCUGUCUGAGGACUUGUUGGAAUAUGCUGUCAUGGUACACUUCAGAACCCUUGGAAACAAGAGGAGGAAAGGCAAGCCAAUGUUGUGAGGUGCCUGGGGAGGCAAAGAUUUAGUUUUAGAUAAGCAUUGUUAAAGUGAGAGGCAUGGCUGUAAGCCUGGCUAGUGUGAAUUUUGAUGACCUGCUUUGGGGGAUGGGCCACGUGAAUCCUGGAUGAAGUUGCCCCACCCCAGACCCCUUGUGAGGGGCAGCCCAGGAGUUCUGAUUGUGUUUGAGACUCUGGGGUUUCUUCCUUGUUGUGUUCCUACUGGCCCCUGACCCUGAACUCUACCCUAGUUCUGUCCAUCAAAACCCAUCUCCCUGCCUUUGUUCGGAGCUCUCUGUCUCUGAAUCUGAGUUUGUUCCCAUGCUGAAUAAAUGAUUUCAUGAACAGAAGCCCAUCUCGUUAAUAUCCCAUGCUGGUUCCUAGUAACUGUAGUUUCUCUGGACAUGAUCCUAUAGUUGCGGACUGCAGCAGCCAAUACACUGGAAAGCAUUCUAGUCCCAAGAUAAAGGGAAAACAGAAAAUAGAGGAGUCAAUUUGUUACACAACUAGUGUGAAAUUUGUCAUUUCUGUGGAGUUCUAGGCUGCAUUUCACGAAAGUAGUUAAGGGAAGUAGUAGUAACUACAGGACUAAAAUGUUCAGUUCUGCUAUCAAUAGCAAAAAUGUGAUUUUUUAAAAAAAAAUUAAUUAAAUUGAGCAUUAGCAAUAGCCUAGCACUGCCAGCAGGUUGAGGUAGCAUCUCUCUUAUUAGGAAAGGCAGAAGGAGCUCAGCUUGUUCAGCCUUGAGGAGAUAGAAUUGAGAUGGGAUCUCAUCAACAUCUAUGAGUACCUGAAGGAAAAGAAGAUGGACCAGGCUCUUCUCAGUUGUGCUGAGCAAUAGGACUAGAGGCAAUAGGAAAGAAACUGACACACAGGAAGUUCCAACUAAACAUGACGAAGAACUUAUUUACUGUGCAGGUGACCAUGCACUGGAACAGGUUGACCAGAGAGGUUGUGGAGUCUCCUUCUCCAGAGAUAUUCAAAAGCUGUCAGCACACUGAAUACCAUAGGUCUAGGAGACCGUGCUUGAGCAGAGAGGUUGAGCUAGAUGACCACCAGUGGCCCCUUCCACUUAGCUAAUCUGUGUAUUUCAGUCAACAAGGGUAUGAGACUAAACCAAACUUCUCAACAACCCUAAAGAAAUUAUAAAGCCUUAGCGAAACUUAGACUUUUAUCAGUUCAGUUUGACUGGGCAACCAAAAGAAAGAUGAAAGAUGACUUUUAGAAUUUACUUGUAUCUCAUCAGGGCAAAAUAAAAGGUAACAAAGAACAAAGUUACCCAAGGUAAGCACAAUAUUAAUUUAAAUUAAAGUCAUAAAAAAAUAGAAAAAUAUGCCCUUUCCCCAUAAAAAUUGAAGUGGUUAAUCACUGGAACAGAAAAAAAUUAAAAAGUGUAUUCAGAUGAAAACUAAAUGGUUAUUUUCUUCUCCAUAUGUUUGAUUUAAACUCCGUGUGUUUGUCUUAGAACUGGAUUAACCAUGUAAAGCUUUCUGGUCCAUGGUACAUGAAAAAUCUGAAUCACCGAGCCCAUGAUUUUACCUGACUCUUUACAACUGUGAUUCUGUAAAUCUCAGGUUUUAGAAAACAUUUACUGUAAGUAACAUGAGAGAAUUCAAAGAAAGCAUCAUACACUUUUUGUCCUAUUCUUCCUGUUCUCCAUAGCAAAAUGAGCACUGCAAAAUAAAAUUAACCUGAAUCUGAUGAAUCUGGAGCAGAAUAUG